UGUAGUUGAUGCUCUGUUGAUGCUUCUAUGUUGUUCCUCAAAUGUAAGUCGCUGGAUAAAAGCAUCUGCCAAAUGAGGAAAUGUAAAGUAAAUUAAUUCACAGAACAUUUAAUUUGUUGUUUGACAGUAUGUGUUGUGUUAACAAUUUGGACCUAAAGCUCGCCUCCUUGUGGAAAAAAAAAAAGACACAGAGAUUUUGGUAUCUGUGCUCUCCUCCCAGACCAGAGGACAUUCAGAUAUUAUCCACCACAGUGAGCUGCGAAGUCUUCGGCCACACCGGUGGUAAACAGGCGAGACAGGGGCUAUGUAAAUAUGAGACGAACACGGCUUGGCAAAACUGAAUGGGUGGACAAUAAAUGGAAAGGAGGAGUUUUCACCCACCCAGAUCAACAGGAUGGAAAUAGCUGUGGCAUCAUUGUCAUCAUGAUGUUCCAGUUAUCAGCUUUGGGACAUCAAGGAAGGAAAUGGCCAAUGAGAGAAAAGCAAUGGCUCUGCAGAUGCUGAAAGCAUCAGUGUUUCAUAUCGCCAAUAACUCUGCCAUGUGUUCAGUGGCAAAGCCUCCUGGAUCAGGGCCUCCGAUGACAAACUGGAUCCAAUGUGAAAUGUGUGAAAGGUGGUUCCAUGAGCAGUGCCCUGCUAUGGUCACCAGAGACCUGAAGAAAGCGAGAAAAUCAAAGUGGAAUUGCUCUGUGUGCCUGAUCACAUCCCACCAAUAUAGCUUGUAUGGACAAGGAAGUAACUGGAAUAAAGAAAUGAUCCAAGAUACACACAUAUGCACAUUCUGAACAAUCACAUAUUUUUAUUUUAGAAAGAUGUUUAAUAUUUUGUCUGUACACAUACAUGUAAGUGUGUUUAUAUCUGGAAAAUAAUGUGCAGUGUCUGUGUGUUUAUGUGUGUAUACAUUUAGAAAAUGGACAUGAGACUGCUUUGAUAUUGGCUGACUGUUAUUCUCUGGUGGUCACUCGAAGAGGACACUUUCAAGGGCUGUACCUUAAAAACAAAACUACAUCAGACAGCUCUGAUAUUGACAGAGUGUCUCCCUGAGGUGGUCUGCUGUCACUGUGGAGUGAAAUGAGUCAGUGGUUUUCUUUUAACAUCAGUUUGAAUCUA